rnacentral:rRNA from 1 species
AGAGUUUGAUCCUGGCUCAGGAUGAACGCUAGCGACAGGCUUAACACAUGCAAGUCGAGGGGCAGCACAGGUAGCAAUACCGGGUGGCGACCGGCGCACGGGUGAGUAACGCGUAUGCAACUUGCCUAUCAGAGGGGGAUAACCCGGCGAAAGUCGGACUAAUACCGCAUGAAGCAGGGGUCCCGCAUGGGGAUAUUUGCUAAAGAUUCAUCGCUGAUAGAUAGGCAUGCGUUCCAUUAGGCAGUUGGCGGGGUAACGGCCCACCAAACCGACGAUGGAUAGGGGUUCUGAGAGGAAGGUCCCCCACAUUGGUACUGAGACACGGACCAAACUCCUACGGGAGGCAGCAGUGAGGAAUAUUGGUCAAUGGGCGUAAGCCUGAACCAGCCAAGUCGCGUGAGGGAUGAAGGUUCUAUGGAUCGUAAACCUCUUUUAUAAGGGAAUAAAGUGCGGGACGUGUCCUGUUUUGUAUGUACCUUAUGAAUAAGGAUCGGCUAACUCCGUGCCAGCAGCCGCGGUAAUACGGAGGAUCCGAGCGUUAUCCGGAUUUAUUGGGUUUAAAGGGUGCGUAGGCGGCCUUUUAAGUCAGCGGUGAAAGUCUGUGGCUCAACCAUAGAAUUGCCGUUGAAACUGGGGGGCUUGAGUAUGUUUGAGGCAGGCGGAAUGCGUGGUGUAGCGGUGAAAUGCUUAGAUAUCACGCAGAACCCCGAUUGCGAAGGCAGCCUGCCAAGCCAUGACUGACGCUGAUGCACGAAAGCGUGGGGAUCAAACAGGAUUAGAUACCCUGGUAGUCCACGCAGUAAACGAUGAUCACUAGCUGUUUGCGAUACAGUGUAAGCGGCACAGCGAAAGCGUUAAGUGAUCCACCUGGGGAGUACGCCGGCAACGGUGAAACUCAAAGGAAUUGACGGGGGCCC